GACGAACGCUGGCGGCGUGCUUAACACAUGCAAGUCGAACGGUGAACCAGGGCUUGCCCUGGGGAUUAGUGGCGAACGGGUGAGUAACACGUGGGCAACCUGCCCCAGACACCGGGAUAACCUCUCGAAAGAGUGGCUAAUACCAGAUACGACCACUUUGGGCCUCCAACGGUGGUGGAAGGGAUUCUGGUCUGGGAUGGGCCCGCGGCCUAUCAGCUUGUUGGUGGGGUAAUGGCCUACCAAGGCGACGACGGGUAGCCGGCCUGAGAGGGCGACCGGCCACACUGGGACUGAGACACGGCCCAGACUCCUACGGGAGGCAGCAGUGGGGAAUAUUGCGCAAUGGGCGAAAGCCUGACGCAGCGACGCCGCGUGAGGGACGAAGGUCUUCGGAUUGUAAACCUCUUUCAGCAGGGACGAAGCGAAAGUGACUGUACCCGCAGAAGAAGCACCGGCUAACUACGUGCCAGCAGCCGCGGUAAUAC
rnacentral:rRNA from 1 species